GAGCGAUCAAAUCUCCCCUGGGGUGGGGAUGUGGUCCGGCAAGACUUCAUAGGAAAUGUGAUGUUUGACUUGGGUUUUGAAGGAUGACAGCAUGUGGGUGGCACAGAGCUUUGACGGUGGAUGUUUAUAUAAGAGGUAAUUCUGCUGCUGCUGCUGCUGCUGCUGGUGGUCGGCUUCAAGCUUUGCUCAUAUGCAGCUGGUGGCAAAGAAAAACAGAAGAAAUGACUUAAAGCACAAAGAAAGCAUAAUUAGGUUAACAAGAGGCCCAGGGAAAAAAGCUUUUCAGGAACCAGUUAUGGAAAGAGUUACUAUUAAAGAAAAAGUGAUGAUCGGGAUGCCACCGGGACCACUGAAUUGCUUUCUAAAGAUUAAAUCAAAUUGCAAGUAAAAAAGAGAAUACUCCAUAUAAUACAUGAAGAAAUUCAUCAUUUGGAAGCAGAAUCCCUGCUAGACCUUUUUGGUCCUUCGAUUCCUCAGGUAUGCAAUGGAUCUACACAUGCAAAGACAUUUUCUCAAUAUAUAGAG
rnacentral:lncRNA from 12 species